rnacentral:rRNA from 1 species
GACGAACGCUGGCGGCGUGCUUAACACAUGCAAGUCGAACGGUGAAGCAGAGCUUGCUCUGUGGAUCAGUGGCGAACGGGUGAGUAACACGUGAGUAACCUACCCUUGACUCUGGGAUAAGCGUUGGAAACGACGUCUAAUACCGGAUACGAGCUGAGACCGCAUGGUCAUCAGUUGGAAAGAUUUUUUGGUCAAGGAUGGACUCGCGGCCUAUCAGCUUGUUGGUGAGGUAAUGGCUCACCAAGGCGACGACGGGUAGCCGGCCUGAGAGGGUGACCGGCCACACUGGGACUGAGACACGGCCCAGACUCCUACGGGAGGCAGCAGUGGGGAAUAUUGCACAAUGGGCGCAAGCCUGAUGCAGCAACGCCGCGUGAGGGAUGACGGCCUUCGGGUUGUAAACCUCUUUUAGUAGGGAAGAAGCGAAAGUGACGGUACCUGCAGAAAAAGCACCGGCUAACUACGUG